ensembl:snoRNA small nucleolar RNA, H/ACA box 61
CAUCUCGGGUUCCCUUUUCUAUUGGAUCUGAACACUGGUUUUGGUGGCUGCAGAAUAAGGAAAAGUAAUAAGCUAGUCUCAUAGCAUUGUAGUCUGGUGUGCCCCAUGGGGGUUAGUUUCCAACAGAG